rnacentral:rRNA from 1 species
ACUCCUACGGGAGGCAGCAGUGGGGAAUAUUGCACAAUGGGGGAAACCCUGAUGCAGCCAUGCCGCGUGUGUGAAGAAGGCCUUCGGGUUGUAAAGCACUUUCAGUAGGGAGGAAGGUAGUGUAGUUAACACCUGCAUUAUUUGACGUUACCUACAGAAGAAGCACCGGCUAACUCCGUGCCAGCAGCCGCGGUAAUACGGAGGGUGCGAGCGUUAAUCGGAAUUACUGGGCGUAAAGCGCAUGCAGGCGGCCUGUUAAGUCAGAUGUGAAAGCCCGGGGCUUAACCUCGGAAUUGCAUUUGAAACUGGCAGGCUAGAGUCUUGUAGAGGGGGGUAGAAUUUCAGGUGUAGCGGUGAAAUGCGUAGAGAUCUGAAGGAAUACCAGUGGCGAAGGCGGCCCCCUGGACAAAGACUGACGCUCAGAUGCGAAAGCUGGGGGAGCAAACAGGAUUAGAUA